rnacentral:sRNA from 1 species
CUGGUUCCUAAUCGACAGACCUGUGAACAUGUUAUCCUUGAUCUCCCAUGCGGAGGGGAGCAUGUAUGCUUUCACGGCAUGGUGCUCCUCUCUGCUGUUGGCCCUGUGUUUGCUCUUUGCCGUCAUCUCUUUUAGGGAUUGAUAGAUUCAGCAAGUCCACAGGGCCAAAAACAAACAAAAAAUCGGCACCUCUAGGUGCCAAGGAAAAUCAUUGAUCGAAAGGAGAGGGCGUGCCGCCACACGAAAGAGUGGCGGGAUGUCCCUCUUCCCUUCCAAUAUAACGACUCUCGGCAACGGAUAUCUUGGCUCCCGCCACGAUGAAAAACGUAGCGAAAUGCGAUACUUGGUGUGAAUUGCAAAAUCCCGUGAAUCAUCGAGUUUUUGAACGCAAGUUGCGUCCAAGGCCAUCCGGCCAAGGGCACGCCUGCCUGGGCGUCAAGCUUUGCAUCGCCCUUCCCAUGCCCUUGUGCUUUCGAGCCAAGGCUGAGGGAGAGCGGAGGACUGGCCUUCGGCGUGUCGUUUUUAAACACGCCGUAGGUUGAAAUGUCUUGGCCUACGCCAAUCAGUUGUGCGGCACAACAAGCGGUGGAUUUCCCAGUGAGUUGUGCCUCACCUGAUCGAGAAAGGCCAUUGGGACUCUUGAGGCAAGCGGCUUCGGCUUCUUGUUUCAGCUAA